CUCGCUGUGAAGAUGCAGUGUACCCGCGGCAAGACGGAAAGACCCCGUGAACCUUUACUAUAGCUUGACACUGAACAUUGAGCCUUGAUGUGUAGGAUAGGUGGGAGGCUUUGAAGUGUGGACGCCAGUCUGCAUGGAGCCGACCUUGAAAUACCACCCUUUAAUGUUUGAUGUUCUAACGUGGACCCGUGAUCCGGGUUGCGGACAGUGUCUGGUGGGUAGUUUGACUGGGGCGGUCUCCUCCUAAAGAGUAACGGAGGAGCACGAAGGUUGGCUAAUCCUGGUCGGACAUCAGGAGGUUAGUGCAAUGGCAUAAGCCAGCUUGACUGCGAGCGUGACGGCGCGAGCAGGUGCGAAAGCAGGUCAUAGUGAUCCGGUGGUUCUGAAUGGAAGGGCCAUCGCUCAACGGAUAAAAGGUACUCCGGGGAUAACAGGCUGAUACCGCCCAAGAGUUCAUAUCGACGGCGGUGUUUGGCACCUCGAUGUCGGCUCAUCACAUCCUGGGGCUGAAGUAGGUCCCAAGGGUAUGGCUGUUCGCCAUUUAAAGUGGUACGCGAGCUGGGUUUAGAACGUCGUGAGACAGUUCGGUCCCUAUCUGCCGUGGGCGCUGGAGAACUGAGGGGGGCUGCUCCUAGUACGAGAGGACCGGAGUGGACGCAUCACUGGUGUUCGGGUUGUCAUGCCAAUGGCACUGCCCGGUAGCUAAAUGCGGAAGAGAUAAGUGCUGAAAGCAUCUAAGCACGAAACUUGCCCCGAG
rnacentral:rRNA from 1 species